UACAGAGGGGGCAAGCGUUGUUCGGAAUUACUGGGCGUAAAGGGCGCGUAGGCGGCCUUCUAAGUCGAACGUGAAAUCCCCGGGCUCAACCCGGGAACUGCGUCCGAUACUGGCAGGCUUGAAUUCGGGAGAGGGAUGCGGAAUUCCAGGUGUAGCGGUGAAAUGCGUAGAUAUCUGGAGGAACACCGGUGGCGAAGGCGGCAUCCUGGACCGGUAUUGACGCUGAGGCGCGAAAGCCAGGGGAGCAAACGGG
rnacentral:rRNA from 1 species